CACCUAAGCCGGUGCUGUGCUGGGUCACCGAGUCUCAGCACGCCGAUCUACAGUGUUCGUGGGAGGUUAAGUUCUAGGUGCUGUAAGCUCUGCCUGCUGGCGACACCGUCCUCUGCUCUACCUCGCAUGCCAUGACCAGCCAGUCUUGCUCCUCACUCUCAGCUCAGCACCCCUGGACUUGUUUCUCUUCUUAGAACACUCUUCAGUCACCUCCUGAAGGCAGAACAUCCGCCCGUCCAUCUAAGGUGAGGAUCCACAAGCGACUCACUGACUUGCCCAGCCUUGAGAUUGCUUAACAGACUACUUCCAUUAGAAAUGAACCAAGAGUCGAAGCU